rnacentral:lncRNA from 1 species
CGCCACCGGUUCUUCUCUCUGUGCUGCUGAUACGUUCUUCCUCAUCCCGUCCUGCGGCGUGCACCGUUCGUCGGGACAGUAGGCCUCCGAAACUCCGUCUCUUCGAGUCCUGUACGGGAGAAGGGCGAUAAGGUUUUUGGGGAGCGCUCAGCGCGACUACUGGCUUCCAUCACGGACUCCGACGAUCUCUUCCCGAACGACGACUACUUCCCCGACGUCGACCACCUCUUCGGUACCAUGGCCAACGACAACGCCAACACCAAUCCUCCUGCUGCUGCAACUCAGUACGUACUCAUGUGCUUCUUCUUUGAAUUCCUAUCACACCUUUUUGCUAUAGUUUCUCUGCUAGAUAUGUUCCGUUUCUACUCAUUACUCCAUAUGAUACCUUAUCUUUGUAGAACGGUUUUACAUAUGCUCUUUUCUGGAUCCUACGUGCACAUGUCUUGUGUCUUCUCAUCUCUAUAUAGCUUGCCUUCUUUCGUUGUUGUUAUGUUGGUUAUGUUUUUCCUAGUUUUUCCUGUAAUAAAAUCCUAUGGUAAAUUGCUCAUAUUUCCAACAAUCCAAAAACCUUAUUUUAGGCAAUUUACCCCUAGUGGUUUUGCUGCCUCCAUGAGGCCUCCUAUGUUUGAGGGUGUUCACUACAAGAGAUGGCGCGUGAGAGCUGUUCUAUGGUUUCAAACCAUGAGCUGCUAUGACGCCACUCUUGGCAAACCUGAAGGAGAUCAUGAUGCUCAACAUGAGCUAGCUUUUCAGAAAAUGGAUACCUUGUUUAAGGCUGCUCUCUUGAGUGUUCUUGGUGAGAACAUAGUUGAUGCUUAUGCGUCAAUUGAUAAUGGAAAAGAUAUGUGGGAUGCACUCGAGAACAAGUUUGGGGUCUCGGAUGUUGGCACUGAGUUGUACAUCAUGGAACAAUUCUAUGACUACAGGAUGACUGAAGAGCGCUCCGUGGUUGAGCAAGCUCACGAAAUACAGUCAUUUGCAAGAGAACUUGAGCACUUCAAUUGCAUGCUACCGGACAAAUUUGUUGCCGGAGGCAUCAUACCUAAACUUCCUCCUUCAUGGAGGAACUUUGCUACCUUACUGAAGCAUAAGAGACAGGAGUUUUCCAUUCCGGAUCUCAUAGGUACUCUUGAUGUGGAAGAAAAGGCGAGAGCAAAAGACACACGUGCUCGAGCUAUUGAGGGAGGUUCUAGUGCCAAUCUGGUACAGAAGAAAAACUUCCAGCCCCACAAUUUCAAGAACAAGGGCAAGUUCGAUGGUAAAGCAAAGUUCGAUGGGAAAAACAAGGCUGUACAGCACACCAACUUCAAGAAGAAGAAUGACAAGAAGAAAGGUGUUUGUCAUGUGUGCGGAGAUCCUGAUCAUUGGGCACCUAACUGCCCUAAUCGUUAUGACAAGUGUCAACAUGGGAAAGGCGGCAAGUCUGCUAAUGUCAUUAUUGCUGACACUGACGUGGAGGAUGUUGGUCCGCAGGGACUUCCACCGUCCUGAUGGGCAACGGUUCACAUGCUUCUGUUCGUGGUGUUGGCACGUUCGAUCUGAAGUUUACUUCGGGAAAAGUCGUGCGGCUGAAGAACGUGCAUUAUGUCCCCUCCGUCAAUAAAAAUCUUGUUAGAGGAUCUCUUUUGUGUAGAGAUGGCCACAAGCUUGUCUUUGAGUCUAAUAAAUUUGUAAUAUCCAAGUAUGGAACUUUUGUUGGUAAGGGCUACGAGUGAGGAGGCCCGUUCCGUUUAUCCUUGGCAGACGUUUGCAGUAAAGUUGUUAAUCAUGUUUACAACAAUAGUGAAUCAAAUGUGUGGCAUUCACGUCUUUGUCAUGUUAACUUUGGUUGCAUGUGGCGACUAGUCAAAUUGAACUUAAUCCCUAGCUUUAACACCGUCAAGGGAUCUAAGUGUCAAGUUUGUGUGCAAGCCAAACAACCUUGUAAGUCUCACACGACUGCCGAAACGAGGAAUCUUGCACCACUAGAACUCAUACAUUCAGAUCUAUGUGAAAUGAAUGGUAUUUUGACAAAAUGUGGAAAGAAAUAUUUCAUGACACUAAUUGAUGACUCCACUAGAUACUGCCGAGUGUAUCUUUUGAAAUCUAAGGAUGAGGCUUUGAACUUUUUCAAGAUCUAUAAAGCUGAAGCAGAAAACCAACUUGAUCAAAAGAUCAAGAGGCUUAGGUCCGAUCGUGGUGGAGAGUAUUUCUCAAAUGAAUUUGAUUCCUUUUGUGCGGAACAUGGUAUAGUCCAUGAGAGGACGCCUCCCUAUUCACCUCAAUCAAAUGGGAUAGCCGAAAGAAAGAACCGUACUCUAACUGAUUUGGUUAACGCCAUGUUAGACACAUCGGGUCUCUCCAAGGCAUGGUGGGGGAGGCGAUAUUGACUGCAUGUCAUGUCCUAAAUCGAGUUCCCACAAAGAACAAAGAGAUAACUCCAUUCGAGGAAUGGGAAAAGAAAAGGUUAAAACUCUCUUAUCUACGAACCUGGGGUUGUUUGGCAAAAGUCAAUGUGCCAAUCCCAAAGAAGCGCAAGCUAGGACCAAAAACUGUGGAUUGUGUUUUUCUGGGAUAUGCUUUUCAUAGCAUUGGAUAUAGAUUCUUGGUUGUAAAAUCUGAGGUAUCUGACAUGCAUGUCAGUACAAUCAUGGAGUCGAAUGAUGCGAAUUUCUUCGAAGAUAUCUUUCCCAUGAAGGAUAUAUCUACCUCAUCUAAUCAGGAAAUGCCUAAUUCAUCAAACCAUUUCGAUGGAACACUUUGAAAAUAUUGUGGAGGAGAACAAUGAAGUUCCUACCAGGAGCAAGAGACAGAGGACUGCAAAGUCCUUUGGUGAUGAUUUUCUUGUGUAUCUCAUAGAUGACACUCCCAGUUCUAUUUUAGAGGCCUAUGCGUCUGAAGAUGCUGACUACUGGAAGGAGGCAGUCCGUAGUGAGAUGGAUUCCAUCUUGGCAAAUGAAACUUGGGAGAUCACUAGUCGUCCUUAUGGGUGCAAACCUAUAGGAUGCAAAUGGGUAUUCAAGAAGAAGCUUAGGCCUGAUGGUACUAUCGAAAAGUACAAGGCACGACUCGUGGCGAAGGGUUAUACCCAAAAGGAAGGUGAAGACUUCUUUGAUACUUACUCACCCGUGGCUCGACUGACCACUAUUCGAGUACUACUUUCAAUAGCCGCCUCACAUGGUCUUCUCGUUCAUCAAAUGGAUGUUAAGACUGCUUUCCUAAAUGGAGAGUUGGAUGAGGAAAUUUACAUGGAACAACCAGAUGGGUUUGUAGUACAUGGUCAGGAAGGGAAAGUAUGCAAGUUGCUGAAAUCUCUAUAUGGACUUAAGCAAGCACCAAAGCAGUGGCAUGAGAAGUUUGAAAGAACUCUAACUACUGCAGGCUUUGUAGUAAACGAAGCUGAUAAAUGUGUGUACUAUCGCCAUGGUGGGGGCGAAGGAGUUAUCCUUUGCUUGUAUGUUGAUGACAUACUGAUUUUCGGAACAAAUCUGAAUGUUAUUAAAGAGUUCAAGGAUUUCCUAUCUCAAUGUUUUGAGAUGAAGGAUUUAGGAGUGGCUGAUGUCAUUCUGAACAUCAAGUUGUUGAGAGACGAAGAUGGUGGGAUUACAUUGCGUCAAUCUCAUUAUGUGGAAAAGAUCUUGAGUCGCUUUGGGUAUAGUGACUGCAAGUCCUCUCCCACACCAUAUGAUGCGAGCGUGCUGCUUCGAAAGAAUCGAAGAAUUGCUAGAGAUCAAUUGAAAUAUUCUCAGAUUAUUGGCUCGCUUAUGUACUUAGCCAGUGCUACAAGACCUGACAUCUCUUUUGUUGUUAGCAAACUGAGUCGGCUUGUCUCAAAACCAGGAGAUGUGCAUUGGAAAGCUCUAGAGAGAGUUUUGUGUUAUUUGAAAGGCACUGCAAAUUAUGGAAUUCACUAUACUGGAAACCCAAAGGUGCUUGAAGGGUAUAGUGAUUCAAACUGGAUCUCUGAUGCUGAUGAGAUAAAGACCACUAGCGGAUAUGUAUUCACUCUUGGAGGUGGCGCUGUUUCUUGGAAGUCUUGCAAGCAAACGAUCUUAACAAGGUCAACAAUGGAAGCAGAACUCACAACACUAGAUACAGCUACGGUCGAAGCAGAUUGGCUUCGUCGGCUCUUGAGUGACUUGCCGGUUGUUGAGAAACCAUUACCUGGUAUCCUUAUGAACUGUGACAAUCAAACUAUGAUCAUGAAAGUGAGCAGCUCAAAGGAUAACAUGAAGUCAUCAAGACACAUACAGAGAAGGUUAAAAUCUGUUAGGAAAAUGAGAAACUCCAGAGUUAUUGCAUUGGAUUAUAUCCAAACAUCUAAAAAUCUGGCAGAUCCUUUUACUAAGGGUCUAUCACGUAAUGUGAUAGAUAAUGCAUCGAGGGAGAUGGGUAUGAGACCCACAAUUUGAGUUGUUCACAGUGGUAACCUAUUCUUUGUGAUCGGAGAUCCCGUGAAUUAGAUGUGGAAGACAAGCUGUUGGUCAACUGAGAGGAAAGUAUCCUUAUCAUUAAUGAUACCACUCCAUGAAGAUGCAAUACUUUCCUGAACUGCAUGGCAGGUUGAUAUAUCUUAAUAUGUUCUAAGUUGCUUACUGAAGCAGAGAUGUUGUCCCGCAGAACAUCUUUUGAAGAACAUACCUAUAUGAGUCAGAUUGUUAAACGUCGCAAUCUAUGAGAGUAGGGUGCUCUCUAGUAUACUCACGAAAGGUCUCGGAGUAUGAAGCAUAAGCUCCAUCCGCGGGGAAGUCCCACGGCAGCCUAGUAUCGGUCAAGGAUCUGUGUGAAGCUAGAUUCGCAGAAAACUUGCAGUUCAAGGCCUAGUCCACUGUUCAAGUUGCUUACUAGUGUAGCAUAGAGUUCUAGGUGGAAGUUCAACUUAACAGUCUCCACUGUAGUAUCGGUAUAUAAAACAGUGUUUUGGAACCAAAGGCAAAUUUUGUGUGCCCCUGGGAUCUGGUGGGGGAUUGCUGGAAUUUUGUGUAUUUAUGGGCCAGCCCAAUAUGUAAUUUCAGAAAUUCCUAAUAAAUCCUAGAGGCCCACGCAGCCCAUUUGUGCAAGGCAAGAGGUGGAAAUAUUUAGUCCCACAUCGCUAGUUUAGUGGGAGUUGGACCUCCUUAAAAGGGAGGAUGUUUCCACACAUGUAUGAGAUUGAGAACAAGAGAGACAUACACGCGCCCUCCUCCUCCUCCGCCGCCCGCCUCGCCUCAUCAUGACGCGCCGAGCCGAACUAAAUUUUUGCCACGCACGACUGGUAUAUGAAAGGCCACUCGGAGAAGCUGAACGUUUUCUGCUGUAGUGGAUAUUGAAAGCUCACGCCGCAGUUUCGUCGCUGCGUCUGUUCGCUUCACAUCCCGUCGCUGGCCUCUCGUCUCCUUCUCCCGCGCCUAUAAAAGAGAGGUCGCUCCUCUCCAGAGACGACGCAUCAGAAGUUCCCACUCGCCACCGGUUCUUCUCUCUGUGCUGCUGAUACGUUCUUCCUCAUCCCGUCCUGCGGCGUGCACCGUUCGUCGGGACAGUAGGCCUCCGAAACUCCGUCUCUUCGAGUCCUGUACGGGAGAAGGGCGAUAAGGUUUUUGGGGAGCGCUCAGCGCGACUACUGGCUUCCAUCACGGACUCCGACGAUCUCUUCCCGAACGACGACUACUUCCCCGACGUCGACCACCUCUUCGGUACCAUGGCCAACGACAACGCCAACACCAAUCCUCCUGCUGCUGCAACUCAGUACGUACUCAUGUGCUUCUUCUUUGAAUUCCUAUCACACCUUUUUGCUAUAGUUUCUCUGCUAGAUAUGUUCCGUUUCUACUCAUUACUCCAUAUGAUACCUUAUCUUUGUAGAACGGUUUUACAUAUGCUCUUUUCUGGAUCCUACGUGCACAUGUCUUGUGUCUUCUCAUCUCUAUAUAGCUUGCC